AUGGACAUGUCGGCGAUCGCCGCCCGCCUCGGCCUCUCCGGGUCCCGCCCCGUCGUGCGCAAGGCCGCCGAGCUCCGCCGCCUCUGCGACAUCAACUUCGACUCCUCCGUCCUCGGCAUCGGGGAGGUGUGCAAGGCCAUCAUCUGCCUCGAGAUCGCCGCGACCAAGUUUCAGGUGAUAUUUGAUCGGUCAGAGGCGGUGCGGAUGAGCGGGAUGUCGGAGAAGGCAUACAUCAGAUCAUUCAACGCGCUGCAGAAUGGGCUUGGCGUCAAGACGACAUUGGAUGUGCGUGAAUUGGGCAUCCAGUUUGGCUGUGUCAGGUUGAUACCUUUUGUGCAGAAGGGAUUGGCGCUGUACAAAGAACGUUUCCUGGCUGCAUUGCCUCCUUCUCGACGCUCAAGCACGGACUUUGGUCGGCCAGUGUUUACUGCAGCAGCAUUCUAUUUAUGUGCAAAGAGGCAUAAGCUCAAAGUUGACAAACUGAAGCUAAUUGACCUGUGUGGUACAUCUAGCUCUGAAUUUACAACGGUUUCGACAUCUAUGGGAGACCUUUGUUUUGAUGUUUUUGGGAUAGCCAAGGAGAAGAAGGAUCCAACCUCUAUCAAAGGGAAUAGAGAACUGCUGGAUGUUUUGCCUAGCAAAAGGAAACAUGAGGAUGACAGCGACCAUUCUGAUGAAUCAUCCGGGGAUGACAAUGAUGACGAGCUAGAUCUACCAACUCACAAAAGGCACAAGAAGAUGGAAAAACAAGCAUACAAUCAGUGGAAGUCUUCAGUUAUCUCCACCAACAAGCAAACCAAACCAGACCCUACGAAGCCCAGGAAGCAAGCCCAGCUGAACUUCAAGAAGAAACUGCCCUUGGAAGUACCCCCACCGGCUAACUAA
rnacentral:rRNA from 1 species